AGUUUAAAAUACAUUUACCCAGCACUAAUGGUCUGGAUUUAAUACCAAAGGGAGGUUUCAUGCCUUAAAAUGUGCUACUUUUAGCACCAAGCAGCGACUGACCCACUCCUCAUUCAGGAAUGUUGGAGAGCAGGUUGAAGAAUGAGCGCUCUGGUUCUGUAGGAGAGCGACACUAAAGGAGAGGAUAAGGAGGAAGAUGGGUGACUGCGUCUGCAGCUAGCGCACACACACGGACUGGUUAUGAACUCUGGGAUUUGGAUGUCUUGACAACCUUUUAUUUUUGAGAAUUGCAGCAGUUUUCAUCUGAAUGCGUCAACAGAGACCUUCCUUAAAAAGCAACAGAAAAGAACCAAACAGCAAAGAAGAGAAAUGAAUGUGAACCACACGACCUCCUUCAGUUCAACUCCAAAUAUAAAACCUGAAUUCCCUGGGUACUACGCCCUCUUGCCUCUUGUUGUACUCGCACUGAGUAGCUGCAUAGUGGCAGUGGUUUUCUAUAUGAAAAGGAGAAGAAGACUAGAUGAGCUGCGCCACCAUCUGAUUCCGGUUUACACCUACGACCCCGGAGAGGAAGAGGAAGACUGGAGAGAUUAUGACAAAGACGAUGAUGAGGAAGAGCUGGCUGAACCUUUGUACAAGGAUUCACAGCUCUCCUUUGAUAGAACAUGAGCAGGAAGGAAAGAAGGAGGAUUUCAACUAGGAAAUAAUCUUAUUUUACUAAUUGUAGUGGACAGGCUUGACUGACAACAAUGCAAUGAAUAAACCAUUAAAACCUGCUGCUGCAUUGAUCAAUGUGCUGUAUUGGCCACCAGAUGGCGCCACAGUCUUGAUUUUUGCCUCAGAAAUGUUUUUAUUUUGUUCUUUUUUUCUUACGGGACUGUACAGAUUUUGUUGUUUUUAGUCAAAGUAGUGACUAUGAUGUAGUUUUACAUGAAUAAACUGAGAAGUGCAAAAGUGGUUUGGAAGCCUUUUGUCUUCUUGUUUCUUACCCCAUAUUUGCAGUGACUUUAAUGCUGCUUUCUAGUUGUAUUAGGAACUGGGAAAUUCCGACCGCCCAGUCGGAAAAGCCAACUGAAACGCCCUCUGAGCCAUAUCUUCCACUGGGAAACUGGGAGCAACUCCAACUACCCCCCAGUUAAGACCGCGUUUCAAUGUCGCAUCAACACUAGUAAGAUGUGGUGGAAACCACAGACAUAAUAUAAUGAGUAAACCCCGCAUUGCCUGCUCUGGCGCAGGAAAUACGGCAGCCAUCUUGGAGCGGUCGUCCCUCCUACUUGGCUAAACCAAACACCAGAAAAAGCCUCGGCACUGCCGGAUAUUUUUGUUCAGAUCGACACACUAAUGACGUGAGAUCUCGGGGGAUAACGUUUCACAAAAACCCCCACUGCAGAGAACCCGCUCUGGCAUUGAACACACCUGUUUGUGAUUGAUAAUCAGAGGAACUGAUGACGUUGGCACAUAUUUAAAUUGAUUGGUGGGGGGUGGCUUACACUUACAGGAAGAUGGGGUACCAAAGAAAAAGCAGAGUGGAUGUCCAUGUUUCUGCCUGGCACCUGACCUCUACCCUCUUGCUUUUUGAUUUGAUCUUCCCUGCUUUCACUGUGGGGACCCUUCUUUGUAACUUCUGCCCCCUGAUGCCCAAAAAUGUACCCUGCCAAAUCCUCAACACGGAGUGUCCGUCCAACCAUCGCUGCGCCAGUUCCUGGGGAUGGCAAGGCUUCCGCCAUGUUCUGUCCUCUCAAGGCUGCUUGGAUAUCAAACUCUGCAACUCCCAGGAAAUGGUCAGAUAUCGGGGUCAACAGUACGACCUCACUCACAGCUGCUGCUGUGGAAACAAAUGCAACCUUACACCAAGGACCAACGCCAGCCUGAUUACAUCACUUUAUUUCAAAACUAGUCCAGAUAAGCUCAUCUCCACUCUAAUGAAGAUGCUCCAGAGUCCCUGUUCAAACCAAACCGCAUCAUCUUCUGAUAUAAAAUUAUAACUGUGUGUUGAAGACGGAGUGAAGGCCUGUUUACCACUGGACCUAACCUUAGUUCUCAAAAGUAAACUCACAUUUAGUCAGAUGUUUGUUUGCUUUAACGUUUUAAACUGAUGUGAAAAUAUGGAAGAGGAAAAAAUAGUAUUGGUUAUUGGUGGUUUUCACAUGUUUAACCCAGAGAGAAAAGGUUGGCUUGUUCAUCCAUCCUCCUGAUUGACUGUGGUCAAGGCUGGUCAAUAAAGCACCUGAUUAAGAAACAAUUGUCUUGUUUAUUGAAAGCAGGUGUGCUUAAAGGUGUGACUUUUUUUCUAAAGACACUGUGCGAAAACAUUCAUGUUCUACUAAGUUUGGCUGGUUGGAGUUAAACUGUGAAAUGGCUGGGCAGAACGUUCUCCAGCUCCUGCCUGCCGCCAUCUUGUGUUUUCAUCUUCUUCUGCCCUCGUUGCUCUGUGGGAAUCUGCUGUGCUUUUACAGCCCCAUCCUGAAGACGGAGGAGGCGAUGACCUUUGAACUCAUUGUGACAGAGUGUCCUCCUCGCGAGGUGUGCUUCAAGGCGCUGGGUCGCUAUGGAAACGUCACUGCCCUGUCGGCGAGGGG